rnacentral:rRNA from 1 species
UCUGAGAGGAAGGUCCCCCACACUGGUACUGAGACACGGACCAGACUCCUACGGGAGGCAGCAGUGAGGAAUAUUGGUCAAUGGGAGAGAUCCUGAACCAGCCAAGCCGCGUGAGGGAAGACGGCCCUAUGGGUUGUAAACCUCUUUUGUCGGAGAACAAAACCCGGGACGUGUCCCGGACUGCGUGUAUCCGAAGAAAAAGCAUCGGCUAACUCCGUGCCAGCAGCCGCGGUAAUACGGAGGAUGCGAGCGUUAUCCGGAUUUAUUGGGUUUAAAGGGUGCGUAGGCGGUCCGUUAAGUCAGCGGUAAAAUUGCGGGGCUCAACCCCGUCGAGCCGUUGAAACUGGCAGACUUGAGUUGGCGAGAAGUACGCGGAAUGCGCGGUGUAGCGGUGAAAUGCAUAGAUAUCGCGCAGAACUCCGAUUGCGAAGGCAGCGUACCGGCGCCAGACUGACGCUGAGGCACGAAAGCGUGGGGAUCGAACAGGAUUAGAUACCCUGGUAGUCCACGCAGUAAACGAUGAAUGCUAGGUGUCCGGGUCGAAUGAGAUCUGGGCGGC